GGAUAUGAGGGUGAUCUGGCUGUGACAUCUGUCACCCCAUUGAUCACCAGGGUUAAUUCGGCUGAUCUGGUUGGCUAGGUGGGUAUCCCCUUCCUUCCUCACCUCUCCAUGUGCGUCCCUCCCGAAGCUGCGCACGCUGGGUUGAAGAGGACGGGCCUUCCCCAAAUAAAGACAGGCCGGUCUUCCAUGAGUAGCUGUGCUCCCCUGCUAGAACCUCCAAAUAAGCUUUCAGAAAAGGUAAAGUUUGUUUCUUCUGACCCAACUUGUCCUGGGAUCAAGUU
rnacentral:snRNA from 1 species